rnacentral:lncRNA from 1 species
GUUAGGAGGAUUCAUUGGUGCGGCACUGCGGCAUUACGACGAACGUCUCGAGCGCGCCUCGUCGCCCGGUUUGUGGCGCUGCUAAAGGUUAGGAUUCUUUGGGGCAUUUCGACGAACGUCUCGCUCGCGCCUCGUCGCCUGUUCGUGGCGCUGCUAAAGGGCACGAGGAUUCUGCAGUGCGACAUUUCAGCGAACACCUUGCGCGCACCUCUGGCGCCUUCCAGCAUUUCCCAAGGAGGCUUAAAUCCUUAUUCAUUGUUAUUAUUAUCUCUUCCCUUCCUGCGGACAAAUUUAUCUUGUGGCAUUUAUGCUACCUUGAUCUCGCUAUUGACAUACAAUAUCCCACAAACACAAAACCUCAAAUCCUAA